ensembl:lncRNA
GGACUGGGCGUUAGAGUGGUAUCCACAAUGCCUCUGACUUGUGAAUUUUCCAGCCUGACUGAUGGGAACAGAAACUCUAACCAUCCCGUGUAAACUUCACGUUCUGUUCCUCUAAUCCUUUCAGGUAGUUUUUCCCCUCAUCUCCGCGAAUUUCCUCACAGGCACCUGAUGAUGAGAACUCUGCUGAGUACGGUGCACAGAGCAGGAAUGACUGUGUCCACUGACCUGUGAUGAGGACCCCGAGGCUCUGAGAAGUGGACUGGCCUGCUAGCCCUGACUCGCUGUGGACUCUGGCCCCAGGCUCCAACUUCAGGGCACUUUCUGCUGGAGCAGCAUCCUCAGAUGAGAACACGGAGGCCCAGAGAGAGAAAGUUUCUUGCCCACACCAAGCAAGGAUGUGGCAGAGCUAAGAGCAGAGCCAGGAGGUCUGGCUCCAAGGCCAGCCUGAUUCCUCGUGGGGCUCACUCUGCUUGGCUGGGAUACAGAUGACAACACUGAGGCUCCAAGAGGUUGAGUACUUGCUCCAGAUCACACCAUGGCUCAUACCUGUAGAGCCAGGAUUCUACAGCAGGUCUGUGUGACUCCAGCACUUACCCCACAGUCCCAAGCCGUCUCUAACAAAGGACAGCAGCUUCUCUUUCAUCCUGACAGUCCCAGCCAAGGCAAACCAACAAAAACAACGUCUGAAGGAAAGAAAACUUGGAGUGAAAACCCUGAAGCUCUUCAAGUUCACUGUCAGGGCAGUGAACAGCCUCACCCUUCAGUGGGUUCUCCCUGAAUUCUGCACCUCCAGCUAUUGCCAUAUUCCUUUCCCUUCUUUCAUAGCUAGCGGUCCAGGGAAAAACUCGUUGACACCAUUGUCUCUGCUUCUUCACUGUCUUCUCAUUUCUCACCCUAGUGCAACCCGGCUCUGUCCCCACCUCUCCGACGCAAGCAUCACCAGGGGUCCUAAUGCAAAUCCAAUGGGCACUCGUUGGACCUGUUCAUCCUGGACCUCACCGUAGCCAGUGACUCUGCUGACCAGCUCCUCAUUCUUGAAACUCACUCUUUCCUGACUCCUUUAGCAAAUGCUUUGUGUGCUCCAUGUCACAUCCCCUUGGUCCUCCUAAUUUCAGGGCAACAGAGGAGGGCAGUUGUGUACCUGCUGCCUGUGUUUCAUCUCCACUGUGCUGAGGUCACUCUCCACCUCCCCGCCUCAGGGUGUCCUCAGAAGCCAGGCCCCUCCACUCAAAUGCAGGCACAACCAAAACAUGGAGGAGUCAACACCCCCAGGGGCAACCAUCAACCCAUGGAAAACGGGAGCUGGUGGACGAAAGCUCCAUCCUUGGGAGGGAGAUUUCUAAGGUAUGUUCUUCGCAGUCUCUCUCUUUGCUCCCUCACUUCAGCUUUCUGGACCACUUUGCAAAUCAACUACCUGCACCCAAGUCCUUGUCUAGGCUCUGCUCUGGGGGAGGCCUCAUUGUCUUGUAUUCCUUUACCUUCUGACCCAUUCAUUUUCUGUCUCUUCAUGAACUGCUCCUUUAAGGGCAAACCCUUCACUGGUAUUACUACCCAGCACCUCCACAAAGCCUGGCGGUGCCCUUCCACCCCGCACAUUAGCCACCACCUAGUCCCUCCACCGCCCCGGCCUCUGUCCAUGCUGCCCUCCUGCCUGCAGCACAAUUCCGUCUGUCCCGUAACCACCUGAGGAGCACCUGCUCACCUGGUAGCCCACAGACCAAGAAGUGCCCCUCCACAGAGCCUUUCCCAACCCUUCCCCACCACGAGCAACAGCCCCCCCAGCCCCCCUUGCAGGCGGGACUGGGUAAGGGGUGUUCCAUACAGCACCUACGGAGGGCCCUUCCACUGUGCGCUUGUCUCCUUUCACUGUAAUGUAGACUCCCUGAGAGCAAAGGCCGUGGAGUUCUGUCUGUGCCCCCAGGAGCCAGCACAGUCCUGGCCCAUGGUCCAUGCUCAAUAAAUGUGGGUAAAAGAACAAGCAUUCAAGCAAACCUCUUUGCUCCUCCCUCCUCACGCGUGCCGCACCCUGCAGGAUUUGGGCAGGAGUUAGGGCCCAUGGUAUGUGGCUUUCCCUGUACAGAGCUGGCCCAUUGUUGGCCUCAGCAGGG